GGAGGGGUGGCUGAGUUUGGCUGAAAGCGCAUGACUCGCAAUCAUGUUUGCCUUUACCGGCAACGGGGGUUCAAAUCCCUCCCCCUCCGCCA
rnacentral:tRNA from 1 species